GGUGAGUCUAAUAUCAUAUAAAUUUUCUGUACGUACAAGUACAACAUAACAUAUAUAUAUUUGCAAGCCAUAAAAUCUAGCUAAGAACAUGUACAGUCCUUAUGCUAUGAUUCCAUAUCGUCUAUAUACAUAUAUGGUGAAAAGGAAUAGAAAAAAAAAAAAAUUAGUGUUGCCAAAAUCUUUGACAUAUUCGAUGAAUGGUAACCUUCUCUAAUGCCUUUUACAUGAAGAUUCUUGGCCAAAUCGCAUACAUGUCAAAAUAUAUAUAUAUGAGGUGUCGAAUAAGUUAGUUUCGUUUCCUUCUAGAAGGCAUAAUUAAUCUAUAUCCUUUUUUUAUUCUCACUUUCUUUGAAAUAUAGGUGAAGAAGAAGAAGAUUAAAGGAGAAGAACAUAGUGGAAGAAAGAACAGAGAAGAAGAAUGAUGUAAGACAAAUCAAAGGGGGUUAAAAAAAAGAAGACAUGGGGCAUUCCGAGAAUUGAAC
rnacentral:lncRNA from 1 species